GGAGCAAGACAUUGAUAGAGAACACACCUGAGAGGCGUGGAGUACAGCAAAAAGGGGUGAUGUAGUGGUUUGUUUCUCCCUCCCUCACAUCUCAGGCAGUCAGCAGGCUCCUGAGCUGCUGGAGAGCCUUUUUACCCUCAUGAGCCCAAAAGCUGCUGCCACCAGUGAAAUGGGAGCUUCUUGAGGACAAAGCACCAGCCUGCCAGCCCCCUGGAGGUACUUCUCCAAAUGGCAGGCACCAUAUUGCUUCUCCACCCACCGGGUGCCUUUGUACUCGCCAGGGGGCUUCAGCUCCUCAGUUUCAUCUCCCUGGUUCCCACACAAAUAUUUCCCAGACCAUGGGAGCCACAGGAGGCAGCCCUCUUGUGCUUCUGCCAUUAGAUGAGAAGAACAUGCAUUGUGUCAACUGAAAGAUCAAGGUGGAUGGAUGAGAGAUAUGUGGAGUUAACCCAGACCCAACCUAUAGAUACUAUAAGAAGUCCAUCUCUGCUCAGUUUAGAGCAGCAAUACCCUCACCUGAUCUGAAGAAAAUGACCAUAAUAAAUAUUUUUGUUUUAAA